AAGAGAUAGGGAAACUCCGUUUAAUGUGGGCGCUUGCGCCCCACCCUCGAAAGGGAAGCCGGUUAACAUUCCGGCACCUGGAUGUAGAUUCUCCGCGGCAACGCAACUGAGAGCGGAGACCUUGGCGGGAGCCCCAAGAAGAGUUCUCUUUUCUUCUUAACAGUUUGUCACCCUGAAAAUCGGUUUGUCCGGAGCUAGGGUUCAAUGGCUGGAAGAGCGCUGCACUUUUGCGGCGUUUGGUGCGCUCCCGACGAGCCUUGAAAAUCCGCUUGAAGAAAUAGUUUUACGCCAGGUCGUACUCAUAACCGCAGCAGGUCUCCAAGGUGAACAGCCUCUAGUUGAUAGAACAAUGUAGAUAAGGGAAGUCGGCAAAAUAGAUCUGUAACUUCGGGAAAAGGAUUGGCUCUAAG
rnacentral:rRNA from 1 species